rnacentral:rRNA from 1 species
UUAGAGUUUUGGACAUGGCUCAGAUUGAACGCUGGCGGCAGGCCUAACACAUGCAAGUCGAGCGGAUGAAGGGAGCUUGCUCCUGGAUUCAGCGGCGGACGGGUGAGUAAUGCCUAGGAAUCUGCCUGGUAGUGGGGGAUAACGUCCGGAAACGGGCGCUAAUACCGCAUACGUCCUGAGGGAGAAAGUGGGGGAUCUUCGGACCUCACGCUAUCAGAUGAGCCUAGGUCGGAUUAGCUAGUUGGUGGGGUAAAGGCCUACCAAGGCGACGAUCCGUAACUGGUCUGAGAGGAUGAUCAGUCACACUGGAACUGAGACACGGUCCAGACUCCUACGGGAGGCAGCAGUGGGGAAUAUUGGACAAUGGGCGAAAGCCUGAUCCAGCCAUGCCGCGUGUGUGAAGAAGGUCUUCGGAUUGUAAAGCACUUUAAGUUGGGAGGAAGGGCAGUAAGUUAAUACCUUGCUGUUUUGACGUUACCAACAGAAUAAGCACCGGCUAACUUCGUGCCAGCAGCCGCGGUAAUACGAAGGGGGCAAACGUUAAUCGGAAUUACUGGGCGUAAAGCGCGCGUAGGUGGUUCAGCAAGUUGGAUGUGAAAUCCCCGGGCUCAACCUGGGAACUGCAUCCAAAACUACUGAGCUAGAGUACGGUAGAGGGUGGUGGAAUUUCCUGUGUAGCGGUGAAAUGCGUAGAUAUAGGAAGGAACACCAGUGGCGAAGGCGACCACCUGGACUGAUACUGACACUGAGGUGCGAAAGACGCGGGGAGCAAACAGGAUUAGAUACCCUGGUAGUCCACGCCGUAAACGAUGUCGACUAGCCGUUGGGAUCCUUGAGAUCUUAGUGGCGCAGCUAACGCGAUAAGUCGACCGCCUGGGGAGUACGGCCGCAAGGUUAAAACUCAAAUGAAUUGACGGGGGCCCGCACAAGCGGUGGAGCAUGUGGUUUAAUUCGAAGCAACGCGAAGAACCUUACCUGGCCUUGACAUGCUGAGAACUUUCCAGAGAUGGAUUGGUGCCUUCGGGAACUCAGACACAGGUGCUGCAUGGCUGUCGUCAGCUCGUGUCGUGAGAUGUUGGGUUAAGUCCCGUAACGAGCGCAACCCUUGUCCUUAGUUACCAGCACCUCGGGUGGGCACUCUAAGGAGACUGCCGGUGACAAACCGGAGGAAGGUGGGGAUGACGUCAAGUCAUCAUGGCCCUUACGGCCAGGGCUACACACGUGCUACAAUGGUCGGUACAAAGGGUUGCCAAGCCGCGAGGUGGAGCUAAUCCCAUAAAACCGAUCGUAGUCCGGAUCGCAGUCUGCAACUCGACUGCGUGAAGUCGGAAUCGCUAGUAAUCGUGAAUCAGAAUGUCACGGUGAAUACGUUCCCGGGCCUUGUACACACCGCCCGUCACACCAUGGGAGUGGGUUGCUCCAGAAGUAGCUAGUCUAACCGCAAGGGGGACGGUUACCACGGAGUGAUUCAUGACUGGGGUGAA